rnacentral:rRNA from 1 species
AGUGAACGCUGGCGGUAGGCCUAACACAUGCAAGUCGAACGGCAGCACAGUAAGAGCUUGCUCUUACGGGUGUCGAGUGGCGGACGGGUGAGGAAUACAUCGGAAUCUACUUUUUCGUGGGGGAUAACGCAGGGAAACUUACGCUAAUACCGCAUACGACCUACGGGGGAAAGCAGGGGAUCUUCGGACCUUGCGCGAUUGAAUGAGCCGAUGUCGGAUUAGCUAGUUGGCGGGGUAAAGGCCCACCAAGGCGACGAUCCGUAGCUGGUCUGAGAGGAUGAUCCGCCACACUGGAACUGAGACACGGUCCAGACUCCUACGGGAGGCAGCAGUGGGGAAUAUUGGACAAUGGGCGCAAGCCUGAUCCAGCCAUACCGCGUGGGUGAAGAAGGCCUUCGGGUUGUAAAGCCCUUUUGUUGGGAAAGAAAAGCAGCAGGUUAAUACCCCGCUGUUCUGACGGUACCCAAAGAAUAAGCACCGGCUAACUUCGUG